rnacentral:rRNA from 1 species
UGGGGAAUAUUGCACAAUGGGCGCAAGCCUGAUGCAGCCAUGCCGCGUGUAUGAAGAAGGCCUUCGGGUUGUAAAGUACUUUCAGCGGGGAGGAAGGGAGUAAAGUUAAUACCUUUGCUCAUUGACGUUACCCGCAGAAGAAGCACCGGCUAACUCCGUGCCAGCAGCCGCGGUAAUACGGAGGGUGCAAGCGUUAAUCGGAAUUACUGGGCGUAAAGCGCACGCAGGCGGUUUGUUAAGUCAGAUGUGAAAUCCCCGGGCUCAACCUGGGAACUGCAUCUGAUACUGGCAAGCUUGAGUCUCGUAGAGGGGGGUAGAAUUCCAGGUGUAGCGGUGAAAGGCGUAGAGAUAUGGAGGAAUACCGGUGGCGAAGGCGGCCCCCUGGACGAAGACUGACGCUCAGGUGCGAAAGCGUGGGGAGCAAACAGG